GAGUUUGAUCCUGGCUCAGGACGAACGCUGGCGGCGUGCCUAACACAUGCAAGUCGAGCGAUGAAGUUUCUUCGGGAACGGAUUAGCGGCGGACGGGUGAGUAACACGUGGGCAACCUGCCUUAUAGAGGGGAAUAGCCUUCCGUAAGGAAGAUUAAUACCGCAUAAGAUUGUAGCUUCGCAUGAAGUAGCAAUUAAAGGAGUAAUCCGCUAUAAGAUGGGCCCGCGGCGCAUUAGCUAGUUGGUGAGGUAACGGCUCACCAAGGCGACGAUGCGUAGCCGACCCGAGAGGGUGAUCGGCCACAUUGGGACUGAGACACGGCCCAGACUCCUACGGGAGGCAGCAGUGGGGAAUAUUGCACAAUGGGGGAAACCCUGAUGCAGCAACGCCGCGUGAGUGAUGACGGCCUUCGGGUUGUAAAGCUCUGUCUUUGGGGACGAUAAUGACGGUACCCAAGGAGGAAGCCACGGCUAACUACGUGCCAGCAGCCGCGGUAAUACGUAGGUGGCAAGCGUUGUCCGGAUUUACU
rnacentral:rRNA from 1 species